rnacentral:lncRNA from 1 species
UUCACCAACUUCAAUCUUAAAAAGUGCAUUCUUGAACAUGCCUUCCUUCGUUUAAUAUGUGUGUGUCCAAUACAUCAGUUGGUAAAAGGAAGCUUCCUUUCUUGAAAAUUGGUUUUCAUUUUGGGACAGGUGGAGAAUAUAACGUAUGUAUUAUGUUACUAUAUAUACUAUUUCUUUCAAAAUUAAAGAUGUAUUUUAU